CCACUUGCCCAGGCCCAGGGCUCAGAGAGGUGCUCAGAUCUCAAGACCUGGCCAGGGGGACCUUGCUGGCGUCUGCUGAGCACACCAUGGCCGGCAACCCUAUGAUGCUGAUGAUGGAGGGCUGUGGGGCAGCAUCCACACUGGGCAAAGAGGGCAGCUCAAGCCACGCAGGCCACACCAGAGACAAGAAGAGAUGCCCAGCACCCCAACCCCACCCCAAGCCUUCCCACAUCCCUGAGCUCUCCUUGGGCUCCCAAGACAAUGUCAGUCUUUGGUCCCAGCCUGUGCUGCUCUGAUACCCAGGUGUCUACACAGCCUUAUUCUAGGCCCACCCUGGCAGGCCACCCCAUCCUGUCACUGCUGUGUGACCCAGCUCCAAUGCCCUCACUCUUUUUUUCUUUUUUGUAACACCAGUAGGUUUCUGUUCUAUUUAAAAUGAAGCCAGCUUGCUCAGAACUUCAACAGAUACAAUAUAAAAU
rnacentral:lncRNA from 1 species